AUGUAUCUUUGAGAUGCAGAUGUAUCCGUUCAAUUGUAUCUAUUAGGUGCAUAUGUAUCAGUGAGGUGCAGAUGUAUUGGUGAGGUACAGAUUUAUCGAUGAGGUGCAGAUGUAUCGAUGAAAUACAGAUGUAUCGAUGAGGUGCAGUUAUAUCGGUGAGGUACAGAUGUAUCUAUAAGGUGCAGUUAUAUCGGUGAGGUGAUGAUGUAUCGGCGAGGGGCAGAUUUAUCUAUUAGGUGCAUAUGUAUCGGUGAGGUGCAGAUGUUUCAAUGAGGUACAAUGUAUCGAUGAGAUACAGAUUUAUCGAUGAGGUACAGAUGUAUCAGUGAAGUACAGAUGUAUCGAUGAGGUGCAGUUGUAUCAGUGAGGUGCUGAUGUAUCGGCGAGGUGCAGAUGUAUCAAUUAAGUGCAUAUGUAUCGGUGAUGUGCAGAUGUAUCGGCGAGAAGAACAGAUGUUUCGAUGAGGUUCAGAUGUAUCACACCAAAUGUAUCGGUGAGAUGCAGAUGUAUCGGUGAGGUGCAGAUGUAUCACAACAGAUGUAUCGGUGAUACUCAGAUGCAUCGGUGAGGUGCAGAUGUAUCACAACAGAUGUAUCGGUGAGGUACAGAUGUGUCUGUGAAGUGCAGAUGUAUCACAAUAGAUGUAUCGGUGAUGUACAGAUAUAUAAAUAUUUCCAGUUUCCGUGAGCGAGUGGUUAAGGUUGCUGCUGGCUCCGAAUUACUUAUCCAUCACCUCUGUGGCUUCGAAAACGCUCUUGGGAUGUAGCAAACUAUCCAGCUGAACUUCUCCAUACCAACAGAUACCCGUGCCGGGCAUAAUGUGCACUUCUCCAUACCAAUAGAUACCCGUGCCGGGCAUAAUGUGCAACGAGGCACCUGCGGUCUUCUUUCAUCAAUAGAUCUGGAAAGUCGGCAUAUGACAUUGUGUUGGCGUGACUUAAACCCAACAAAAUAAAUACCUGCAAAAAAUUCAGUGUCAUAAGUAAUAAUCUAGAAAUAAUGAUAGACGCGCGGUUAGGGUGAAAUAGGUCAUUUUUCGAUGUAUGACAAAAUAGGUGUUUUUCCCCCAAGAUUUUCACACGAUUUUACAAGUUAUUUAACAAAAAGGUGGCAAUCAGAAAAUUGCUUUACGUAACCACCAUUACAUUUGUGAAAUUCAAAUAAUCACCGGGGAUUCUAUACUUUCAGUAAAUAUCCAUUUCCUACCUAUACAACAUUUCGGCAAGUAUAAAAGACCAAACUCAAAUAAUUUAAUUUCUUAUUUACAUUUGAUUCUUCGAACAUUAUUUUUCACAUUGUGUAGGAUUUAUGUAAAUAUUCGAAAUAAAUAACAAUUUAUUUUGAAUUUGAACUUAGAAUGACGUCUAAACGUUAAAAAAGAGUUCACAGUGAUCCGUCAUAGAUGUAGAUAGACCGACUUUCACAACAGAAAUUAAUACGUUUUCAUAUUCUACAAAUAAAACAGCACAAUUCCCCGUAAAGAAUUUUUAGUCCUGAAAUUCAGUAGGAAAAAAUCAGUAUAGUACUUUACCCAUGACCUAGUGCUGGAUCAAUCUUUACUUUAACACGGGUUGUCCUUGAUUUCUCCUCCAACGUAGUACAGUACUAUUGAUAUUAUAUGAGUGUGGAACUAUUUUAAUUUUAAAAAUAUCUUGAUGCGUUGCAAUAUCGUCAAACCAAUCUAGAGAGAAGUUUCCAUCUAAAAUUUCAACCAAUUUGAAAUAUAAUAAAAAAUCUUUCUUUGUACUUUGUACUUUAAGACGAUGAAAGAAAAAAAAAACCAAGUAAAAUAGUGUAAAUUUUA
rnacentral:lncRNA from 1 species